GAUGAACGCCGGCGGCGUGCCUAAUACAUGCAAGUCGAGCGAACAGACGAGGGGCUUGCUCCUCUGACGUUAGCGGCGGACGGGUGAGUAACACGUGGAUAACCUACCUAUAAGACUGGGAUAACUUCGGGAAACCGGAGCUAAUACCGGAUAAUAUAUUGAACCGCAUGGUUCAAUAGUGAAAGACGGUUUUGCUGUCACUUAUAGAUGGAUCCGCGCCGCAUUAGCUAGUUGGUAAGGUAACGGCUUACCAAGGCAACGAUGCGUAGCCGACCUGAGAGGGUGAUCGGCCACACUGGAACUGAGACACGGUCCAGACUCCUACGGGAGGCAGCAGUAGGGAAUCUUCCGCAAUGGGCGAAAGCCUGACGGAGCAACGCCGCGUGAGUGAUGAAGGUCUUCGGAUCGUAAAACUCUGUUAUUAGGGAAGAACAAAUGUGUAAGUAACUAUGCACGUCUUGACGGUACCUAAUCAGAAAGCCACGGCUAACUACGUG
rnacentral:rRNA from 1 species